GACGAACGCUGGCGGCGUGCUUAACACAUGCAAGUCGUACGGUAAGGCCCUUUCGGGGGUCCACGAGUGGCGCACGGGUGAGUAACACGUGAGUAACCUGCCCACAACUUUGGGAUAACGCUAGGAAACUGGUGCUAAUACUGGAUAUGUGCUCCUGCUGCAUGGUGGGGGUUGGAAAGCUCCGGCGGUUGUGGAUGGACUCGCGGCCUAUCAGCUUGUUGGUGGGGUAGUGGCCUACCAAGGCGGCGACGGGUAGCCGGCCUGAGAGGGUGACCGGCCACAUUGGGACUGAGAUACGGCCCAGACGCCUACGGGAGGCAGCAGUGGGGAAUAUUGCACAAGGGGCGCAAGCCGGAUGCAGCAACGCCGCGGGCGGGAGGACGGCCUUCGGGUUGUAAACCGCUUUCAGCAGGGACGAAGCUUUUUGUGACGGUACCUGCAGAAGAAGCACCGGCUAACUACGUG
rnacentral:rRNA from 1 species